GAGGGGAAAGAGGAGUAAAAAAUAUAAUGUUGCAUAUGUAUUAAAAUUAUAUAAUUUUGCAUAUGUAUUAAUUUUAAUACAUAUGCAAAAUUAUAUUUUUUACUCCUCUUUCCCCUCUAUUUAUGUUU